GAAUUGUUCGCAAUGGGCGCAAGCCUGACGACGCAACGCCGCGUGGAGGAUGAAGAAUUUCGGUUCGUAAACUCCUUUCGACCAAGAUGAACACCCCGUGACCCAACACGUCAUGGGGCUGCCAGUAUUGAGAGAAGAAGCCCCGGCUAACUCUGUGCCAGCAGCCGCGGUAAUACAGGGGGGGCAAGCGUUGUUCGGAAUUACUGGGCGUAAAGGGUUCGUAGGUGGCCAUUUAAGUCAGACGUGAAAUCCCUCAGCUCAACUGGGGAAUUGCGUCUGAAACUGGAUGGCUUGAGUGCAGGAGAGGAAUGCGGAAUUCCAGGUGUAGCGGUGAAAUGCGUAGAUAUCUGGAGGAACACCGGUGGCGAAGGCGGCAUUCUGGACUGUAACUGACACUGAGGAACGAAAGCCAGGGGAGCAAACGGG
rnacentral:rRNA from 1 species